CAAACGGAGGAGGAGGAGAGUGGCGUAAAGGAAGGCGGCGAGAGGUGCCAGGAGUGACGGGGCGUGAAGAGCGCGAAGGUGGGUUUGUAAAUGGGUGGUGAAAUACUGGAGCUAAACGCCAGAACUGCUUUCGAUACUGGCGACCUUGAGUUCGGCAGAGGUGAGUGGAACUGAGAGUGUAGAGGUGAAAUUCGUAGAUAUUCGGAAGAACACCAGUGGCGAAGGAGGAUCACUGGCCCGGUACUGACGCUGAGGUGCGAAAGCGUGGGGAGCAAACAGGAUUAGAUACCCCGGUAGUC
rnacentral:rRNA from 1 species